UGGGGAAUAUUGCACAAUGGGGGGAACCCUGAUGCAGCGACGCCGCGUGAAGGAAGAAGUAUUUCGGUAUGUAAACUUCUAUCAGCAGGGAAGAAAAUGACGGUACCUGACUAAGAAGCCCCGGCUAACUACGGUACAGCAGCCGCGGUAAUACGUAGGGGGCAAGCGUUAUCCGGAAUCACUGGGUGUAAAGGGAGCGUAGACGGCAGGGCAAGCCUGGAGUGAAAGGCGGGGGCCCAACCCCCGGACUGCUCUGGGAACUGCCCGGCUUGAGUGCAGGAGAGGUAAGUGGAAUUCCUAGUGUAGCGGUGAAAUGCGUAGAUAUUAGGAGGAACACCAGUGGCGAAGGCGGCUUACUGGACUGUAACUGACGUUGAGGCUCGAAAGCGUGGGGAGCAAACAGG
rnacentral:rRNA from 1 species